ACCUCUAAAAUGUACUCACCCUGACCUCCAGUGUGUAACCUGUAGGUGUGGCUAGUAUUUCAGCAUUAAGCAAGCUCUGCUUUGUAAACUUGUCACAAUGACAUUCAGAACACGAGCACAUCAGCCCGGUCGCUCACAGCUCUAUGAAAUAUGUUCUGUCGGAUUUUGACAUGGAACAUGGGUGUGUGCCUUCUGACGUCAAUAUAUAUAUAUAUAUUUCACAAAUGCAUGCUGUUUAUCGUCUGCAUAGAGAUAGAGUAGCAUAGAGACCCCUCCCGGUGUCAAAUAGAGUAUCCAGGAAUUAAUGUUGCGUAUCAAUCACCAGGGGUUUUAUAAUCCGAUUUUGCGCUGCUGACGUAGGCUAUUCAAGUUAAAAAAAAUGUUUUUUUUUACAUCGUACCGCAGUGUCUGUAAAAUUCCUUUAAUGUCGUGUCCACCAAUUGAAUUCAUCUAAGCCUUUCUCGCCAGCCUUCCUCCCCAAUACCCCUUCUCUAUCGCUCUAUUUUUAGAGCGCACUGUAAUCCCUCCCCCUCUCCAUUUUCCUCCCUCUCCAGCUCUAUUUACCUAUUUUAUGGCACGCAGUCAAAGGCAGAGAGCAAGCUCUGUUCAAAUCAAAUCACGUUUUUUUGUCACAUGCGCCGGAUAGAACUUUACCAUGAAAUGCUUACUUAUGAGCCCUUUCCCAACGAUGCAGAGUAAUAAAAAAAACCCACAAGGAAUAAAAUACACAAGAAUGAAGCUAUAUACAGGGAGUACCAGUAGUAUAUCAAUGAGGCAGAUGAAAAUGCGCAGCGCUCCGUUUUUAGGUCAGUGGGACACGGAAUGGCGCUCUCUCUCUCUCCCUUCUUUUGAUCGACGAGUGGAAACAUUGUGACCUUCCUGACAUUCUAGUUUUCAGUUUUCCCUCGCAACUUUGUUUUUAAAACAUACUACACCCUCUAGUAUUGUGUCUGGGUGAAAACCGAGACAGAGGAAGAGAUGGCUCAUCUGGUGGCUGUGGUGAUUCUUUAGGGGAAAGAAAGAGCAGAGCAAAAUAGGAGGGAAUUCCUAGCUGUCUGUCUCUCACUGUGAAAAAAAGACAGAGAAAAGUGUCCUGGAAGGUGUAACCACUAAAACUAUUAUGCAAAUGAGGAAAUGAGGAAGGGAGCUGCCACUGUGAGAAAGAUAUACUGUAAACUAGUAUUAUUAUGUAAUAAAAUGGUCAUACUCUAGAUUGUUAUGAUGAGGUUGAAGCUAGGUCAAGUUGUUAUGAUGAGGUUGAGACUAGAUCUAUAUUGUUAUGAGGUUGAGACUAGGUCAGGUUGUUAUGACAAGGUUGAGACUAGGGUCUAGGUUGUUAUGAUGUGGUUGAUACCAGGUCAGGUUGUUAUGAUGAGGUUGAUACUAGGUCAGGUUGUUAUGAUGAGGUUGAGACUAGAUCUAUAUUGUUAUGAGGUUGAGACUAGGUCAGGUUGUUAUGAUGUGGUUGAUACCAGGUCAGGUUGUUAUGAUGAGGUUGAGACUAGGGUCUAGGUUGUUAUGAUGUGGUUGAUACCAGGUCAGGUUGUUAUGAUGAGGUUGAUACUAGGUCAGGUUGUUAUGAUGAGGUUUAUACUAGGUCAGGUUGUGUAACCCAGACAAGCUCUAGAGCCAAAUGAAGUGGCUAGAAAGUACUCUACUUGUACUGAGUUCAGUUAGUGUGUCAGUGACAGAUGGAGUAGAGACAGCUUUAGAUUAGAUCCCAAAAAUAAAACCAGACCUUAUUUAGUCUUACUUGAGCUAUUGUUAGAUAUAGUGGUGGUAGCCUGAUAGUGGUAGCAAAGACCAGAAAUGAACAGAUUAAAUACCUAACAUUAGAAACAAUAUUGAAUCUAUAGAAAAAAGAGAUAAGAAAACAAUAACUGACCAAAAGCUUCUGUUACUGAUC
rnacentral:lncRNA from 1 species